rnacentral:rRNA from 1 species
GACGAACGCUGGCGGCGUGCUUAACACAUGCAAGUCGAGCGGAAAGGCCUCUUCGGGGGUACUCGAGCGGCGAACGGGUGAGUAACACGUGAGUAACCUGUCCUUGGCUUUGGGAUAACCCUCGGAAACGGGGGCUAAUACCGGAUAUGACCUUGUCCUGCAUGGGGUGGGGUGGAAAGUUUUUUCGGCUAGGGGUGGGCUCGCGGCCUAUCAGCUUGUUGGUGGGGUGAUGGCCUACCAAGGCGACGACGGGUAGCCGGCCUGAGAGGGCGACCGGCCACACUGGGACUGAGACACGGCCCAGACUCCUACGGGAGGCAGCAGUGGGGAAUAUUGCACAAUGGGCGGAAGCCUGAUGCAGCGACGCCGCGUGAGGGAUGACGGCCUUCGGGUUCUAAACCUCUUUCA